rnacentral:lncRNA from 11 species
GCACCAGAUCCCAGCUCAUUUGGGAUGCUAAGCAGGGUUGGCCCUGGCUAGUACUUGGAUGGGAGACCACCAAUGAAUCCAAGGAUCUCAAAGCUCUGUUUCAGAGGAAGGGACUGGCACAACCACCUUCUGAAUAUCCCUUGCAUAAGAAAACCCAUUAAGUUGCCAUUGAGUUGGAAGAUGAUUUGGAGGCACACAUGGAAUAAUCUAUAUACCAGUAGAGUCUCACUUAUCCAACAUAAACGGGCCGGCAGAACGUUGGAUAAGCGAAUAUGUUGGAUAAUAAGGAGAGAUUAAGGAAAAGCCUAUUAAACAUCAAAACAGGUUAUGAUUUUACAAAUUAAGCACCAAAACAUCAUGUUAUACAACAAAUUGGACAGAAAAAGUAGUUCAAUACGCAGUAAUGUUAUGUAGUAAUUACUGUAUUUAUGAAUUUAGCACCAAAAUAUCACAAUGCAUUGAAAACAUUGACUACAAAAAUGCGUUGGAUAAUCCAGAAGCUUGGAUAAGUGAGUGUUGGAUAAGUGAGACUCUACUGUAUAUUAUUAUAUUAUUACUAUUGUAUUAUUAUUAUAUUAUUCAUUGCUCAUGACUACAUUGAAAC